AGGAAACUGAAAACAACAUGCUACGGAUUCAGAAUGCUUUCUCAGCCAUGGAGGCAAACUUUUACAUACUUUAGCUCCCAACUCUACCCUGAUAUCAUUGGUCUGGAGCAGGGCUAUCCAACUUGCAGCCCAUGAGCCAUAUGCAGCCCACAAGAUGAAUUCAUGGCUCCCAGGCUCCUGAUUCAGUUUCACACCUUCUGGUUUCACUGAAUUUUUUCUUGCUGACAUAUUCAGAAUUACCCAGCAAAAGCUACCAGAGCUACAACAGAAUAUGUUGACCAGGAAAUGAUGUAAAGCAAGAUGACAAUCAAGGCAACUUUGGCCAUCUUCCAUUCAUUCUUCAUCCUCUGCUAUUGCCUCUGGGAUUCUUUAUUAUCACCUGAAACAUCCUAGGGUGAAAAAAGCAUUAUUGCAACAGACACAACAACAAAAACUCUAGGGAGAGGAGGAUUAAAUAAAUGUCUUCGCAAAAUGGGACAGACGACUGGCCC